rnacentral:tRNA from 1 species
UCUACUAAAGGAAAACAGAC